GGCCUAAUACAUGCAAGUCGAACGGUUGCCAGCAAUGGCAAUAGUGGCGCACGGGUGCGUAACGCGUAACCAACCUACCCGAAUCUGGGAGAUAGCCCGCCGAAAGGCGGAUUAAUACCGCAUAAAACUGCAGGACGGCAUUGUUUAACAGUUAAAGAUUUAUUGGAUUCGGAUGGGGUUGCGUGCCAUUAGCUAGUUGGGGGGGUAACGGCCCACCAAGGCGACGAUGGCUAGGGGAGCUGAGAGGUUGGUCCCCCGCACGGGCACUGAGAUACGGGCCCGACUCCUACGGGAGGCAGCAGUAGGGAAUAUUGGGCAAUGGCCGAGAGGCUGACCCAGCCAUGCCGCGUGCAGGAUGAAGGCUUUCUGAGUCGUAAACUGCCUUUGCCAUGGAAGAAAAAAGGGGAUGCGUCCUCUACUGACGGUACCUGGUGAAUAAGCACCGGCUAACUCCGUGCCAGCAGCCGCGGUAAUACGGAGGGUGCAAGCGUUGUCCGGAUUUAUUGGGUUUAAAGGGUGCGUAGGCGGCUUUUUAAGUCUGGGGUGAAAGCCCGUUGCUCAACAACGGAACUGCCCUGGAAACUGGAGAGCUUGAGUACAGACGAGGGUGGCGGAAUGGAUACUGUAGCGGUGAAAUGCAUAGAUAGUAUCCAGAACCCCGAUUGCGAAGGCAGCUGCCUAGACUGUAACUGACGCUGAGGCACGAAAGCGUGGGGAGCGAACAGGAUUAGAUACCCUGGUAGUCCACGCCGUAAACGAUGGAUACUCGCUGGUGGCGACAGACGGUCACUGGCUUAGCGAAAGCGUUAAGUAUCCAACCUGGGGAGUACGCUCGCAAGA
rnacentral:rRNA from 1 species